GGAGGGGAGAGCUCAGUGGUGGAACGCGUGCUUAGCAUGCACGAGGUCCAUGGUUCAAUCCCCAGUCCCUCCA
rfam:Camelus ferus unplaced genomic scaffold scaffold573, whole genome shotgun sequence.